CCCGUGUAUAAAAACACGUCACAUCCGGACAUGUAGUCCAGUUGAUCGCACGGCGGAUUGAGAGUGAAGACUGAAUACAUGUGUGCGACAUCCAGCGUUAAGAUGGAGAGGACUGCAGAGAUGAAGCCAGACCCCGCUCUGCUCAGACCCCCUGACUGACAUCUGAUGCUCAAUGAUUGAGGUUAGUUUUAUAAAGAGAAGACGACACGUGGCCACUUACUACACGUUAAGACAUUUAAUGAUACAUUACACAAAUCCUUUAAGAGAAUAAUGGUGUCAUAUUUGGGCCAAAUGAGGAUGGUAGACUUAAAGAAAAUGAAUUGUUAUAUCUAAUCUGAAUAACUGAGACUUUUGUUUCCUUAUUGCUUUAUAGGCUGAGGAUUGUUGUGAUCAGAAAAACCUAAAGUGUGCUAAUAAUAAAAAUGUACCUCAGGGUGUCAGAUCUUUCUUAAUAUUCCAUAAUUAACGACCACAAUAGUGAAAUCCUGUGCUAUUAAGAAGCCAGAUGCAGACUCUUUGCAGACACCUGCAGUCUCAUAGUAGAAAACUCUUCUCCCGGUUCACCAGUUACGGUGUGUCCUACAGCUCCCCGGUGUUUCAGACUGUUAACCAGCGACUGUCAGUUAACAGUCACAGAGGAGGGAGAGUGCAGCUGAUUUUGUACAAGCAGGUACUGAGCCUGAGCCAGCCUCCUUCAUUGACUGACACCCCGAAUGUGACGCCACCUUGUUAAACCUGUAAGACCUGUGCAGACCUCACCAGCGAGGCUCAGCCUGCAGUGGCUCUGUUCUUUCCUGUAGUGUCUGCUAGAGAGACGCGAGGUUGUUUGAGGCCCUGCUGUGACUCCUCGCAGCAGGGUUAUAGGUAAACCUCCGACAUCUUUUUAGGUUUCUAGUCAGAUGAAAUGUUUGUUGUACUGCUCGAGUGUCUAACUGGAAGCUCUGCUUUACAGGAGUGGAAAUCUUUCAGAGGCUGCUGAUGAGUGCAGAAGUCCCUUGUCGAAGGUCUCGGAGGCGAUUAAGUGGUUCCUGCUGGCGUCAGUGAGAAGAGUGGCUCCUCGUUGAAACCAACCAGAGUGCGCCACAAACAUCAGUCAGGGUUUAACCAGUAUGAGGAGACUUAAAUGCAGAUUUCAUCCUGAGUUGGAGAACCAGUUUAUCUGCUGACCUUCAGAUGAUUCCCCAAACCUGGGUGGACGUCUUUA